rnacentral:lncRNA from 10 species
CAAAAUUAGCUGGGCGUGGUGGCGCAUGCCUGUAAUCCCAGCUACUCCGGAGGCUGAGGCAGAAGAAUCGGGAAGCGGAGGCGGAGGUUGAGAGGUUACAAAAAAUAUUCUGCUUAUCAUCAACACCAUCACUGUCAUCAUCAUCCCAAGACAAAAUGGGUAAGAUUUUCUGCAUCUGUGUUCAUCAGGGUUGUUGGUGAAUAGUCUGUCUGUCUUUCUUUCUUUCUCUUUCUUUCUUUCUUUUCUUUCUU